rnacentral:lncRNA from 1 species
GCCUGCAUCCUUGAAAUUAAUCAUUUGAUUAGAACUAAUUACAAAGACUGGCUCAAAAACCUCAGGAUUGUCCUGACCUCAGAAAAAUUAAGUCAUAUACUCGACCAGAAACCCAUAGUGUUACCAAAUUGUCCUACUGCUAAGCAAAAAGCUACUUUUGAAAAGUGGAUCGAUGAAUAUAGUCAGGUUAAGUGUUAUGUGUUGGCAUCUAUUGUUGGAGCACGAUUCUGGCUCCUCCCACGGAUCUUGGGUGCAGCAAAACCAGCAACGAACAGAUCUGGAGAGUUCUGGACUCGAUCUAAGGCCCUUGACGAAAUCAGUCUGGUUGCUGUCUUCUUCAUCAACUUUUUGUUCCAGAUGAAGAAUGCCUCUAAAAUCACCUCUAAAAAAUCCAAGAUCUAGUACCCAACUAGAUCAGGCCUGGAUCGAGGUCUUCUAAUUUGUAGAUCUUGAAUCAGGGUAUUCUAGAUGGGGAAGAAGGUAGAUGGAGAUAGACCUUGCAGAUCUGUCCUGCUACAGCCUUUCUUGUAGAUCUGUUGAUGGAGAUCUCAUCCGCACCUCAAACGACCUCAGAUCAACUCCAGAUCUGAGAGGGACUUGUAUCAACCUCUUCUUAAGAGAUUCCAGGUCCUGGACCUAAUGCUUGGGCAUCUGCA